rnacentral:rRNA from 1 species
AGAGUUUGAUCAUGGCUCAGGACGAACGCUGGCGGCGUGCCUAACACAUGCAAGUCGAGCGGAGACAGUGAGUAGCUUGCUAUGAGCUGUUUUAGCGGCGGACGGGUGAGUAACGCGUGAGCAACCUUUCCCAGACAGGGGAAUAACACACCGAAAGGUGUACUAUACCGCAUAAGACCACGGGAUCACAUGGUUCUGGGGUAAAAGAUUUAUCGGUUUGGGGUGGGCUCGCGUCCGAUUAGGUAGUUGGUGAGGUAACGGCCCACCAAGCCGACGAUCGGUAGCCGACCUGAGAGGGUGAUCGGCCACAUUGGGACUGAGACACGGCCCAAACUCCUACGGGAGGCAGCAGUGGGGAAUAUUGGGCAAUGGAGGAAACUCUGACCCAGCAACGCCGCGUGGAGGAAGAAGGUUUUCGGAUCGUAAACUCCUGUCCUUGGAGACGAGUAGAAGACGGUAUCCAAGGAGGAAGCCCCGGCUAACUACGUGCCAGCAGCCGCGGUAAUACGUAGGGGGCAAGCGUUGUCCGGAAUAAUUGGGCGUAAAGGGCGCGUGGGCGGCUCGGUAAGUCUGGAGUGAAAGUCCUGCUUUUAAGGUGGGAAUUGCUUUGGAUACUGUCGGGCUUGAGUGCAGGAGAGGUUAGUGGAAUUCCCAGUGUAGCGGUGAAAUGCGUAGAGAUUGGGAGGAACACCAGUGGCGAAGGCGACUAACUGGACUGUAACUGACGCUGAGGCGCGAAAGUGUGGGGAGCAAACAGGAUUAGAUACCCUGGUAGUCCACACUGUAAACGAUGAAUGCUAGGUGUAGGGGGUAUCGACCCCUUCUGUGCCGCAGUCAACACAAUAAGCAUUCCGCCUGGGGAGUACGGCCGCAAGGUUGAAACUCAAAGGAAUUGACGGGGGCCCGCACAAGCAGCGGAGCAUGUGGUUUAAUUCGACGCAACGCGAAGAACCUUACCAGGUCUUGACAUCCACUUAAACUUACAGAGAUGUAAGGUGUGCUUGCACAAAGUGAGACAGGUGGUGCAUGGUUGUCGUCAGCUCGUGUCGUGAGAUGUUGGGUUAAGUCCCGCAACGAGCGCAACCCUUAUCUUCAGUUACUAACGCGUGAGGGUGAGGACUCUGAAGAGACUGCCGGGGACAACUCGGAGGAAGGUGGGGACGACGUCAAAUCAUCAUGCCCCUUAUGACCUGGGCUACACACGUGCUACAAUGGCCACGACAGAGAGAAGCGAAAUCGCAAGGUAGAGCGGAACUCAAAAAAGUGGUCCCAGUUCGGAUUGUGGGCUGCAACCCGCCCACAUGAAGUCGGAGUUGCUAGUAAUCGCGGAUCAGCAUGCCGCGGUGAAUACGUUCCCGGGCCUUGUACACACCGCCCGUCACACCAUGGGAGUUGGGAGUGCCCAAAGCCGGUGAGGCAACCGCAAGGAGCCAGCCGUCUAAGGCAAGACCAAUGACUGGGGUGAAGUCGUAACAAGGUA